rnacentral:rRNA from 1 species
UACGAAGGGGGCUAGCGUUGCUCGGAAUCACUGGGCGUAAAGCGCACGAGGCGGCUUUUUAAGUCAGGGGUGAAAUCCUGGAGCUCAACUCCAGAACUGCCUUUGAUACUGAGAGCUUGAGUCCGGGAGAGGUGAGUGGAACUGCGAGUGUAGAGGUGAAAUUCGUAGAUAUUCGCAAGAACACCAGUGGCGAAGGCGGCUCACUGGCCCGAUACUGACGCUGAGGCACGAAAGCGUGGGGAGCAAACAGG